CGGAACGUCGCGAUGGACUAAACACCGCGCGACGCGAAAGCCACGAGCAAGCUGUACUUUCGAUUUUGAGCUCCCUCCUUCGACAUCUACCUUCUUUGUCCUCCCAAUGGAAAUUGAAGGCGAAUCGGUAUAUCAUGCUGUUAACAAUACGCGAUACCAGCAAUUGUCCAAAAGGAUCUCAAGAUUAUAGGCGAUGACAAAUCAUUUUGGCAAAGGUCUGUAACAAUAUGAGACAAAUAAGACGAAUAUCUAGCAUACAUUAAAUAUGACAAUUUAUUAAGAAUAAUAUAUUCUGCAUACGAUUGGCAUGAAAAUUUGUAUUAAAUUAAUUAAAUAAAUAUAAAAGUCGCACGCACAGAUUUUUAAUCAUUAGCGAGCCAACAAUUGUUACUAGGAGAGCAUUUUAUUAUAAUACGGGAUGAUCAAUAAAUCGUUGGCGACUCGUGACAAUUAAUGUCUCAAUCGCUAAUUUUUAUUAUGAACUGUAUUGUAGUCAAUGCGCACAAUAUUAUAAUCAAAAAUAUAGAAACACGUAUUUAUAUAUAUAUAUAUAUAUAUAUACAUUUAUUCAAGACUAUUUUUCUCUCUCUCUCGAAGACUAUAUCAAAAUAUUUAUUUUAUAUUUCCGUUAUUUAUUUGUUUGUUUUUUAUUCCCCCGGGAGAUAGCUCUCUCACCACGAUUUAUCGGACAUCCUGUGUCUUCUUUUUGUUCGUUUAUUUUUCACCAGUAUAAAGUUGAAUCUUGUAGUGAUGCUUGCGAUGUAAAGUUGCUUAGGAAAAAUAUAUAUCUAUGUUGUUCUUUUUCCUUCUUUCGGCGAUUGUAGAUUCGCUCUCGCGCAUAGAGAACAUUAAAAAAUUAAAUAUUUAUUAAUAAAAAUUGCCAUAUUGAGUACAAUCAGUCUAAAGUUUUAUUAACUUGCGAAAAGUGGCGUAUAGAUAGAUUUUGACGGAUAGAUUUUGAUUGUAAAAGAAUUGUUUUACUAAUUAUAAUAUCUUUUUAGUGUAUAAUUGUUUUUUUUUAGCCGAAUUGCUUGCACUUUUAGUUUUUUCUCUCUUCAGCUUCUAAAUAUAUAUACAUCUUCUUCAAUUUUGUUUCGUUUCAGUUCAGCUAAAAAGGGAGAGAACAAAUCUGUAAUAGAUAUAUUAUUUAACAUAAACAA